rnacentral:rRNA from 1 species
AACGAACGCUGGCGGCAUGCCUAACACAUGCAAGUCGAACGAGACCUUCGGGUCUAGUGGCGCACGGGUGCGUAACGCGUGGGAACCUGCCCUUAGGUUCGGAAUAACUCCCCGAAAGGGGUGCUAAUACCGGAUAAUGUCUUCGGACCAAAGAUUUAUCGCCUUUGGAUGGGCCCGCGUUGGAUUAGCUAGUUGGUAGGGUAAAAGCCUACCAAGGCGACGAUCCAUAGCUGGUCUGAGAGGAUGAUCAGCCACACUGGGACUGAGACACGGCCCAGACUCCUACGGGAAGCAGCAGUGGGGAAUAUUGGACAAUGGGCGAAAGCCUGAUCCAGCAAUGCCGCGUGAGUGAUGAAAGCCUUAGGGUUGUAAAGCUCUUUUACCCGGGAUGAUAAUGACAGUACCGGGAGAAUAAGCUCCGGCUAACUCCGUG